UACGAAGGGUGCAAGCGUUACUCGGAAUUACUGGGCGUAAAGCGUGCGUAGGUGGUUUGUUAAGUCUGUUGUGAAAGCCCCGGGCUCAACCUGGGAAUGGCCAUGGAAACUGGCGAACUGGAGUGCGGCAGAGGGGGGUGGAAUUCCGCGUGUAGCAGUGAAAUGCGUAGAGAUGCGGAGGAACACCGAUGGCGAAGGCAGCCCCCUGGGCUAGCACUGACGCUCAGGCACGAAAGCGUGGGGAGCAAACAGG
rnacentral:rRNA from 1 species